UUGCACGAUGCAACCCCGGGCUUUUCUUAUUUAUUCAUGACGUUGAAGCCCCAUUGCUCGUGCUACAUCAAUGCUAUUCGUGUUGCAGAUCAUUCUCAGAAACUCUAUGUUUGAUUCUGUGUCAAAGUAAUAGCUACAUUG